rnacentral:rRNA from 1 species
GAUGAACGCUGGCGGCGUGCCUAAUACAUGCAAGUCGAACGAAGAUCUAGCUUGCUAGAUCUUAGUGGCGAACGGGUGAGUAAUACAUAAAUAAUCUGCCCAUAUGACUGGGAUAACUAUUGGAAACGAUAGCUAAUACCGGAUAGGUUGAUCGGAGGCAUCUCUGAUGAAUUAAAGUAGGAUUUCUACACAAAUGGAUGAGUUUAUGGCGCAUUAGUUAGUUGGUGGGGUAACGGCCUACCAAGACGAUGAUGCGUAGCCGACCUGAGAGGGUGACCGGCCACACUGGGACUGGGACACGGCCCAGACUCCUACGGGAGGCAGCAGUAGGGAAUUUUCGGCAAUGGGCGCAAGCCUGACCGAGCAACGCCGCGUGAGUGAUUAAGGCCUUCGGGUUGUAAAGCUCUGUUGUAAGGGAAGAACAUUCAGGAUAGGAAAUGAUCUUGAACUGACGGUACCUUACCAGAAAGCCACGGCUAACUACGUGCCAGCCGCCGCCGUAC